GGGGGAGGCUGCAGUGCGGCUCUGCCGUGGCCUCCUCCCCGGCACAGACACCCUCUUACCUCCAUAGGGUUGAUGAGUGUCUGAGAGAUGGCCACAGCCAGGGAGCCAGCGAGGAGCCGUUCCUGAAAGGGUGGGGACCCAUGUACUCCACAGAAGUAAUUCUUACACUGGGAUGGGAGAGAGGCACGUGAGAGCGAGCCAGCCACCUCCUACUGAAGCCAUCCAGGGAGCGGCCUGGAGCCUGGAGGGUGGAAUGCUGUCUCGGACAGAGAACUUGAUGGCGUACUCAGGGGCGAUCUUGAGGACGUUGAUGCCAUUGCCACGCCACAGGGACCGGACACCGCCCUCCUGGACCAUGCUCCGCAGCCCCCCCAGCAGGUUCAUGAAGUUAGUCUUGGAGGAGUAGACCUGGGAAGGGAGGACCCAGGAGAACCCUGUGGGGAGCUCUGCAGAGCUCUAUUGGGGGGCCACCCCUCCCUCUUCAUGCCCAAGUACCCCUGGCUUCUCCGGUUCUGUCCCCAGCCAGUCCUACCCCCACCCAGACCCCAGGGCUGACCCACCUUCCUGUCUCUUCCCUCAUCUCCAUCUUUUCUCCACUCUUAUUCACUUUUCAAACCCAUCUGAAGAACCUGUCCCCAGCUCCCUGAUCUCUGAGCUGACCCUGGCUCAGGGUUGACCCUGUGCCAUCUGACUCCCCUCCCUGGUCCCCAACAUAUCUCUGUGUCCCAUCCACACCAGCUGUGUCACUUCCCAGACCAGGCCCAGCAGUACCCCGUGAGAGCCCUGUUCCAGCCCUACUCCUAGCCCUACCUCCUGCAGUACCAUUGCACCCCCACCACGUCCUGUGCCCAGUGGCUCACCUACCUGCAUGUAUACCUUGGCGCGGUCCAGAGGGGCUGUGCCUGUGCGAGACACUGCCCCAGCCAUGGCCCCCGACAGCAGGAACUUCCACAAGGCCCCCUCGCCGCCCACUUCCAGCACCUCCACGGGGACCAUCAGCUGCUCCCCUGUGUCCAGCACCUGCUGGGCAGACCCAGCCCUUGCCCAUGCGCAGCGAUGCUGGAGCUCCUUCCCCGGGCAUGUCUCUGGGAAAUCCUCCUGGGAAAACAAGGCGAGACUAGAGCUUUGUCCCUCUCUUCACCAUGAGGACAUAGCACAAAGGCAGCCCUCUGCAAGCCAGGAAGAGAGAGCCCUCACCAGGAACUGAACCAGCCUGAUCUUGGACUCCAGCCUCCAGAACCGUGAGGAAUAAAUGCCUGUUGGUUAAGCCACUGA